rnacentral:rRNA from 1 species
GACGAAGGGGGCUAGCGUUGUUCGGAGUUACUGGGCGUAAAGCGCGUGUAGGCGGUUGUCCAAGUUGGAUGUGAAAGCCUUGAGCUUAACUCAAGAAAUGCAUUCAGGACUGGAUGACUAGAGGACCGGAGAGGAUAGUGGAAUUCCCAGUGUAGUGGUGAAAUACGUAGAGAUUGGGAAGAACACCAGUGGCGAAGGCGGCUAUCUGGACGGUUUCUGACGCUAAGACGCGAAAGCGUGGGGAGCAAACAGG